GACGUAGGGCGCGAGCGUUGUCCGGAUUUAUUGGGCGUAAAGAGCUCGUAGGCGGCUUGUCGCGUCGAAUGUGAAAACCUGUAGCUCAACUGCAGGCUUGCAUUCGAUACGGGCAGGCUCGAGUUCGGUAGGGGAGACUGGAAUUCCUGGUGUAGCGGUGAAAUGCGCAGAUAUCAGGAGGAACACCGGUGGCGAAGGCGGGUCUCUGGGCCGAUACUGACGCUGGAGGAGCGAA
rnacentral:rRNA from 1 species